rnacentral:lncRNA from 1 species
AGAAAUUUUAUUUUGGCCAGGAGCUGAAGUUGGUUGUUUAGUAGUAGUAGUUUGAGUAGUGACCGAAGUAGUAGUCUGGUGUGUGGGUGCAGCUGAAGUUUCAGAAGUGUCAGGUGCAAGAGUAGUUGGGGAAGAAUUAGGUGUGGGUGGGGCAGCUGUGGUCUCUGGUGGAGCUGAGGCGGAUGAUGGGUCUAGGGUAGUUGCAGAAGGUGUGGGUGGGGCAGCUGUGGUCUCUGGUGGAGCUGAGGAAGAUGGUGGAGCUGGUGUAGUUGCAGAAGGUGUGGGUAGGGUUGACCACACUGCUAUUUUUAUCUGGAUGUUUAGGUGAAGGUGGAAGCUUAGGCCUACAGCGUUUGUGCAGACAUUUAUAGGACUUUCUAAUGAACGGCUUCUGGUGAGC